rnacentral:misc_RNA from 1 species
GAUGAAGAACGUUGCGAAAUGCGAUAAGUAAUGUGAAUUGCAGAAUUCAGUGAAUCAUCGAAUCUUUGAACGCACAUUGCGCCCGCCAGCAUUCUGGCGGGCAUGCCUGUUCGAGCGUCAUUUCAACCCUCGAGCCCCCCCGGGGGCCUCGGUGUUGGGGGACGGCACACCAGCCGCCCCCGAAAUGCAGUGGCGACCUCGCCGCAGCCUCCCCUGCGUAGUAGCACACACCUCGCACCGGAGCGCGGAGACGGUCACGCCGUAAAACGCCCAACUUCUUAGAGUUGACCUCGGAUCAGGUAGGAAUACCCGCUGAACUUAAGCAUAUCAAUAAGCGGAGGA